GACGAACCGUGCGAACGUUGUUCGGAUUCACUGGGCUUAAAGGGCGCGUAGGCGGACCCAAAAGUCCGGGGUGAAAUCUUUCGGCUUAACCGGAAAAUCGCCUUGGAUACUGUGGGUCUCGAGGGAGGUAGGGGCAUGCGGAACUUCCGGUGGAGCGGUGAAAUGCGUUGAUAUCGGAAGGAACUCCGGUGGCGAAAGCGGCGUGCUGGAUCUCUUCUGACGCUGAGGCGCGAAAGCGUGGGGAGCAAACAGG
rnacentral:rRNA from 1 species